CUUUUUCACUCCUACGGGAGGCAGCAGUGGGGAAUAUUGCACAAUGGGGGAAACCCUGAUGCAGCCAUGCCGCGUGUGUGAAGAAGGCCUUCGGGUUGUAAAGCACUUUCAGUAGGGAGGAAGGUAGUGUAGUUAACACCUGCAUUAUUUGACGUUACCUACAGAAGAAGCACCGGCUAACUCCGUGCCAGCAGCCGCGGUAAUACGGAGGGUGCGAGCGUUAAUCGGAAUUACUGGGCGUAAAGCGCAUGCAGGCGGCCUGUUAAGUCAGAUGUGAAAGCCCGGGGCUCAACCUCGGAAUUGCAUUUGAAACUGGCAGACUAGAGUACUGUAGAGGGGGUAGAAUUUCAGGUGUAGCGGUGAAAUGCGUAGAGAUCUGAAGGAAUACCGGUGGCGAAGGCGGCCCCCUGGACAGAUACUGACACUCAGAUGCGAAAGCGUGGGGAGCAAACAGGAUUAGAUACCCUGGUAG
rnacentral:rRNA from 1 species